ACUAAUAAUUAUACUUUUUUUUUCUGAAAUAAGGAAAAAAAAAAAAAGGUUAGGGUAGAAAUUUGCUUACUUGAGAAUCCUCCAUCCACCCGUGGUUGAUCUCCACUAGAAUACCGCCAGAGCACAUCCACACGAUCGUCACACUUUUACAAACUCCUUCGUUGGGUUUCAGGAAGAUGGGGAAGCAAAGUCCAGAAAGCGAGUACUGAGAUGAAGGUUGCGGCUGCAGGAACAGAGAGAAGAAGAACUAUUACGAAUGAUGUGAGGAGGAUGAGCAGACAUCAAGCAAACACACAGACGAAGAAGGUCAAUAAUGCUGCAGGAACAGAGAGAGUAGAAGAAUUGCUACGGAUGAUGUGGAAAUGGACCAAAAAUCAAGUAAAGCAAGGGAGUGGGAGCUACCAAUGUUUCCUGCCUUCAUAGGAACGUAUUAGGGGGGUUAGAUUGAAGGAAGGAUGUGCUACUACUGCUACCUCAUCAUCUUGCAUUCCCUAAAGGUGUACGCAAGCAGAGGAGGAGCUAAGGGGCAGGAAGGUUGCAGCGAUAGAGGAUGAAGAGGAGGCUGCAACACAAGGGAGGAGGAGGAGGAGGUCAUCAGAAGAGGUUGAGUGUCCUCCUAACGUGUUUUUUGAAGCCUCUGACAUUGAUGUUCGAGACAAAAGGGUCUCAGAUGAUUCCACGGAUGAUCAAAAUAUAGUUUGUUAGAUCGGUGAGGCCUCUGAGUUUUCUUUGCUUUCCCAUGAAAGUGUUCUUCUCACCUGCGACACAGGUUAGCUUCUUGUUAUAAUUUAAAUUAUCUUUGGACGAGAAAGACAUACUCCUCACUAUGAAAAAGUUGAAACUUCUACUUUGCAAUGCUAAAUAUCAAAAAGACUAUAUCAUGAUUGAUUCA